rnacentral:rRNA from 1 species
CCUACGGGAGGCUGCAGUAGGGAAUCUUCCACAAUGGGCGAAAGCCUGAUGGAGCAACGCCGCGUGGGUGAAGAAGGUCUUCGGAUCGUAAAACCCUGUUGUUAGAGAAGAAAGUGCGUUAGAGUAACUGUUCACGUUUCGACGGUAUCUAACCAGAAAGCCACGGCUAACUACGUGCCGGCAGCCGCGGUAAUACGUAGGUGGCAAGCGUUAUCCGGAUGUAUUGGGCGUAAAGGGAACGCAGGCGGUCUUUUAAGUCUGAUGUGAAAGCCUUCGGGUUAAACGGAGUAGUGCAUUGGAAGCUGGGAGAGUUGAGUGCAGAAGAGGAGAGAGGAACUCCAUGUGUAGAGGUGAAAUGCGUAGAUAUAUGGCAGAACACAAGGGGCGAAAGCGGAUCUCUGGUCUGUAAAUGACGCUGAGGUUCGAAAGCGUGAGUAGCACACAGGAUUAGAUACCCCUGUAGUC